UAUACAUACAGAUGCUUCAAAUGUAACUUUAAAUCCUUUAUCACAAAAUUGACUUAUACUAAGAAGAUUAUGUUUCAACCCUUUAACUAACAAAACAUUUUCUAUAAAAACAGAUGGAGCAAUGAAAAUUUUACCCUUUCCAAUGAUAUGGCCUUUACCAUUGUCUCCAUAGGUAACUACUCCACCUUUCUUUGGUUCCAAAGUGACAAAUUGAUCUUCGUCACCGGUCAUGUGUCUUGAACAGCCACUAUCUAGAUACCAUCAUUUUUCCAUUUUAUCAGCUGUAAGACACACCUGCAAUCAAGAUCAAGAAGAACCUUUAGGUACCCAAACUAAGUUGGGUCCUUUAGGGUUAGUACUCCAUGUUCCUUUUGGAACCCAAACUUUCUUGAAUUUAAUCUUUUGAUUAUUACUUGAUUUGUUUUGACUAGACUUUCUAAAGUUACAUUCAUAUGCUCUAUGUCCUAUCUUAUUGCAACAAUAACAAGUAACAUUUUCAUUUUUAGCUUUUACAAAGAUAUUCUUUAAGAAUUUUUGUUUUGUAUUUGUUUUAUAACCUAAACCAGCCUUAUUAUAUACAGCUCUUUGACUAUCAAGUAUCAUAUUCAAUUUGGUAGAACUAAGAGUAAAUUUAUCUACCAAGGAUUUAUACUUUUCAGCAUCUUCUUUUAACUUAAUAUUUUCAGCAAUUAGAUUCUUGGUUUCAUUUUCAAGUUUCCUACUUAACGUUUCAUAGUUAUGAGAC
rnacentral:lncRNA from 1 species